GGAACAUAUCUACAAUUUAACAGCUGGGCUUUCCAAGUGCAGUGCACAGUGUCCCAUUUAAAAAAAAAACACCAAAAAGCAUGCAGUUGCUAAACGAUGGGUUCCUGACAGCAAGCUGCCGGGAUGGGAAUGCUCUGCUGCGUGACUUCAUGCUUCUUGGCGAUUCUGGACAUUUACAAACUUUGCAGAUCCCUGGAUGACCCACCUGUUCCUUUACUUUGGAAAGAGAAUGACCUAUCUUCUUUGGGUCACUGAUUCUCAAAAAUUCUUUGCUUAAAAAAAAAAAUGAGACUACAAGAAGGAUUUUCUAAGAUGCAGAAUUCGAUGGGUUUUCUAAGACGCAGACGAGCCUGGAGGGUUACCUCCUGGAUGUUGAAUUGGCAAUUAAACUAACCGCCACGGCGUCUAUUUCGGUUGUGCUGUUUGGAGACAGGACAACGAGGCCUAGUCCAGCCAUAAGCAGUCUCAGAUUGCCUGAUGCACAUUGCUCUGGUCCUGCAGUCCCAGGAGAGCGUCAUCCCGUCUUUAUCUAUCAAACAGCUCCUGAUGCGUGUUAUCCUAACCCAACUCCAUGAGGUCUGUUUCUCUGGAAAAGAAGAGCUGGAGGUAUGGAUUCACAUGUAUUUUCUGGGGAGAGACAGUGGCACUUCUGCUGACAGAGGGGUGAACUGAUGUCAGAGUUCCCAGGCCUGGAGUGCUGUGAGAUGCUAACUCGAAGCUCAAUUCUGUGCUGAGGAGUUGACAUCCGAAUAGCCUCCGUGGGUUUGUGUGGCAAAGAUAAGAAUAUUAUCUACUGCCUUCAGGGGUGCCCUUUUCACCAAUUUUUGCACAACAAAGACCAAAGCCGGGCAGGUUUCUGUAAGAAUCUCUUCUCGUGAGGCUUAAGCGUCUCGAAACUAUCAACCGAAACAUUUUCACAGUGGGAGGAAGCAAUAAACAAAUCUCAGG
rnacentral:lncRNA from 1 species